CUUCCUCCCGCCUUCGUUGGUUUAGGGUUUCACUCAACAAAAAGUAGUUCAAAUUUGAAAUCUUUUUCCGCUGUCUAUCCUACUUUUUCAUUGUUUCCGCGUGUACUUACUCUCACAAGGGACCAUUUU
ensembl:ncRNA C25A8.9 ncRNA